UGUAGAAUCAGCCAGGAUUGGCAUUGGGAGGAUGCACAGUAGUGUGUGAUAUCGUGUGUGAUAUGAGCACGGUUUGUGCGUGUCAUUCGACAUUGUUGCGCACUGCCAGAAGAAGUGGGGCGCACGUUCAGUGCAAAGUGAGGCACAACCGUGUGCGAUGAAAUUGCACCAGAGACUUGAUUUUUCAACUUUUUUUCUUGGUUCUUUAUCAUGCUUUAGCUCCAUAGAAUUGUUCAACAUCCUUUUAGCCCUGAAACAUAAACACAAGCUUUUUGAAGUAAACUAGUUCUAUAAAGUGACAAAAACACACAUAAUUCUAGUGAAAUAAACACUUAGAAAGCACACAAACUAUGACUUAUCAAACUCCCCCAUGCUUGAAUCUUUGCUUGUCCUCAAGCAAAAGGCAAAGAAUAUCAGCAACAUAACAACAUUAACAACACAAACAACAUAAAUAAACAAAUUCAAAUUUUUAUUUCCUCCAAGGCUUUGUUUUCAGCGUACACUUGUUCUUGAGACGAAUGUUGACACAUGCUUCUAUGAUAAAUGAAUUUAAAGAUAAUAUGUUUGUCAUUUUUGUUAUUUUCAAAGAAAACAUAUAAAAGGUUUUUAAAAGAAUUUUCAAAGUUUUUGCUUCAAGUAUUAACAUUAAAAAUGGAAGAAAUUUUGCACAUAGAAUAAAAAAGAAUUCCAAAUAAAGAGGCAUAUGCUCAAAUUGAUUUAAUAGAGUGGUAACCGGCCAAAGGCAUGGCUCCACGAAUUACAAAAUUUGGAAAAUGGUAAUUAUAUGGAGAAGGUACAUUGAACACAAUAACUGUUAUAUUCCCUAACAAUUUUGAAUUCUACUGCUUAGACGCUUCAAUAUCGGAGAACUUCAAACAACUAAAGUGCCCCAAGUGAGUGAUGCUUUAUGCAGUUACUUGUCCUAAAUCCUUAACUUUUGCAUAGAUCACCCUUUUGGGCUUUCGACCUAUCAAGAUAAUCAUUUUUCUUUUUCUUUUUCUUUUUUCUUUUUCUUUUUUCGAUUUCAUUUUUUUUUUGUCUCUAAUUUUUGCCUGGACCGCCCUUUCGGAUUUUCGGCCUACCGAGCUGUUCUUUUAUAUAUGUCUAGACAAAGUAUUGCUUGACCGUAUCAGAAUUCACAGGACGAGAUAACUCCUCUCCAUCCAUAGUUGUAAGAAUUAAAGCACCACCAGAGAAAGCUCUCUUAACCACGUAGGGACCUUAAUAAUUAGGUGUCCACUUGCCCCUGGGGUCUGGUUGAAAAUACUUGAUACUCUUGACCACAAGGUCUUCUUCUUUAAAUUCACGGGGAAGAACCUUCUUAUCAAACGCUUGUUUCAUUCUUGUUUGAUAUAGAUGUCCAUGACACAUCUAGUCAUGCGUUUUUCUUCAAACAAAUUCAACUGAUCAUACCUAUUCUGACACCAUUCAGCUUCAGAUAAUUCAGCUUCUAUCAAGACUCUUAAUGACGGGAUCUCGACUUCCACGGGAAGCACAGCCUCCGUACCAUAUACCAAAGAGAAAGGGGUUACCCUUGUUGAAGUACGCACUGAAGUACAAUAAACAUACAAAUGCAGUCGGUGUUCCACAACAUCAGGGUCUAAUCCUGGCAUAUCCUUGUAUGACCAUGCAAAUAUAUCAUCAUACUCUCUGAGAAGCUCAAUUACUCUUUUCCUAACAGUCGCAUCCAGCAAUGCCCCGAUCUUGAUCUCUUUCUUGUCUUCAUCGGUACCCAAGUUAAUAAUUUCCAUCUCUUCAUGAUGAGGUUGAAUGGCUUUCCUUUCUUGCUCUAACAUCCACUUGAUCUCAACAACGACCCAAUUGCAGCAGCUUCCUCUAGGUGUCACAAAGAAAGGCACCACUUCCUCAGACAGGUCUUCAACAAUUGCAUUAGCCUCAUGUGGAGCAAUAAUAAAUCCAGCGCUAUGAAAAGUACCUGUAGUUGGAUUGAACACCCCUGGCUUAUUAUCAGAAAAUCACAGACCUUCCUUACGCUUGUUUUCAGGCAACUUCACCAACUGACCCCAGCCCUCAGUUUUACCUUACUUUCUGUAUCACCUUCUGAGCAUCUUUCAAAGAAGCCAUGCAUGUUUCACCUUUCUUAGUGCUUCCUUCAACAGUGAGCCCUUGAAAUGACGUCUCAUCUGUACUACCACCACUGAUGUAGGAGAAAGCCGACAAAUGGCUAACCAAUAAAACUGAUUCACCGUUCACAAUUAUUAACUUCCCAUGGCUUACAAAUUUCAACUUCUGAUGGAGAGUGGAUCUUACUGCACCGACUUCAUGAAUCCAAGGCCUACCAAGUAGGCAACUAUAAGAUGCCUAGAUAUCUAUAACCUGGAAAGUAAUUUUAAACUCAUGAGGGCCAAUGGUAAUAGGUAAGUUUAUAUCUCGUAUCACUGACUUCCUAGAUCCAUGAAACGCUUUUAUCAUCACUGUACUGGGCCUAAAAAAGUCAUCCUGAUACGCAAGCUUGUCCAAAGUAGUCUUCGCCAUCACAUUGAGAGAAGAACCAGUAUCUAUUAAAACAUUGGACUUAGAGUCCGACUUGCAGAGAACAGAGAUAUGUAAAGCCAAGUUAUGAUUCUUCCCCUCCGCCAAGAGGUCUUCAUCACUGAAACUCAAGUUGUUGCACAAGGUCACAUUUCCGACUAUGUUAUCAAACUGACCCAGAGUCACAUCAUGGUCUACAUAAGCAUGGUUUAGGACUUUCAUCAAUGCUUCCCUAUGUGCAUCAAAGUUUAUCAGUAGGGACAUUAUGGAGAUCUUAGAAGGAGUUUGUAGCAGCUGAUCCACUACCUUAUACUCACCCCUUAUGAUUAAUUUCAUAAUUUCAUCAUUGUCGUCAUAAACAAUCUUACUAGCCUAUCCUGUAGCUUUGCCUUUACCCGAGUUCUACGCUUCUAUUGCUUCCACAAUCGGAGCACUAGUCUUCCUUUGAACAACAGUGGGGAGAAUACGUCCAAUUCUCAAGACUUCACUACUCUCAGCAAUAUUACUCACAGAUGCUGAAGGAUGCAGAGGUUUACCGUCUUCCAGGAUUGUAGACUCAUACUUGUAUGGAAUAGCCUUCUGAGAGACAUACGGCUUAGGUCCUGGUAAGCAAAUCACUAGGGGGUGUGACCGCUGGCUUGGCACUACUAUAGGUUAUUUCAAGACGUUUCGGGUGCUCCGGGACUUUGAAACAGGAGUAAUUGAAGGUAAAUCGACAUCAACAGAAUAAGCAGCGAAAUAAAAAUUCGAUUUACUUUCCUUGGAUCAUUACGAAUUGGAACUUGAACCAGUGAUUCGAUUGUUACCUUGAACGAUUAGUCUGAAGCGAUCGGUGGAAUCUGCGAACCGGAAUCACGAUCACAGCCAAGCAAACAGCAGAGCCUCUAUCGAGUCCACACGAACAGUGCUCCUCCAAAACCUCGGUGCUAGCCAAGAAGACGGAAGUCAGAGAACUAGGGUUUCUGCAAAGAAUACGUAACCGCAAACUAUUGCACUAGGGUUCUAUUUAUAGAACUCCUUAUGUGCUUUGCAAGUCAAACUCGUUUUUGACUUUACUAAGCCCAAUACGAGUUUAGCAAAUUUUGCUAAAGCAUUAGCAUUAUUUACUAAGCGCAUCCUUUAUAUAAGUCAUACUUAUACAUAUAUAUAUCUCUUUUGACUGCUCUUUGUGUGUGACCCUUUAGGUUCUAGUCACGUUGGCAAUGAUAUUAAAUCUAAUAUUUAAUACCAUAAACAAUGAGCGGUAUCUAGCAACACAUCAUUGCUACCCAAGUGACAAGAAUGUCAAGUGAUCUGACGAAACCUUUCAUGAUAACACAUAGGUGCAUAAUUACUCCUUUGUCACAAUAUCUUCAUUGAUCCCAAGGCAUAGAUAGUGUCACCCUUGUAUAGAUCAAUGUUAAUUUAUCUUGAUUCCGAAAUAUACUAUUUAACGAAUAAGUCCAAUAUCUUAUAUUGACUUAGUUCGGCAUGGCCAUGCAUAUUUAUAGUCAUAUUUCAUCAAGAGGCCUAAAGAUAUAUCUCCUGUUUAUGAGGAGGGACAAAUCCCAUCUAGGACACUCAUGACCCUCAGCAUGAUUCAUCAAGUGCUCAUCAACCAACGUUAUUGUUAUCCUUUUACAGACAACGUUAGAAUGGCAACAAAGCACUUGAGUCCACAUCUAGAGAUCAUAGUGGUUUCAGGUCUAAGAGCGAUAUACAUUAUUAUCAUUGUGAGAAUAUCUUAUGACAAUUUCAUAACUUACUAUGUAGUAUUCUCACAGUGGGUCAAUCCAAUAUAAAUAUUACUCCUAAUAUUUAUAUCUAUGUAUAGACUUGAUAUCUCAUAUCUAUGACCCAUGAGAUGCGGUCAUCAGUCUACAUACAUAAUAGUCUCGACGCUUUAUUAUUAUCCUUUAUUCAUAUUAAAGCUUUGACUAUGGAUACAUUUAAGAAUAGCGUUCUAUAAGAUAAUGUAAUCUCAUGAUUAAGUCACACUUAAUAUAUUAUUUCACGAACUAUCUAUUCUAAGGACUUUAUUAACAUUAUCUAAAUAUAAUAAAGAGUGCCAUAUAUUAUUCAAUAAUAAAAGUCAAGAUACAUAAGAUAGGUUUAACAUAAACUAUUGGCCUCUAGGGCUUACACCAACAGUAAUAACACAGACACUUUUAUCUUCUCUUGUAACAAUUAGUUCCCUUUUAUCCAUCGGCCCUUCUAUAUCCUCUUGAACUUGUAUUCACUCUCGAGAAUCCCCAGAACACACUUCACAGGCGUCAUGAUGACUAAACAGAAUUGCCUCACACAUCUUGACAUGUAUUGGCACCAAAGGAGCUUUGAUAUCUUGGGCACUAAGAACGAGACCAUCUUCCUGAUAAUGCUCGAUCAUAUUGACAGCAGGCCCACGGAAUGGCAGAGGGUUGUUUAGGACGUUUUCUGAAUCUGUGAAGGACAAAUCCUUGCUCUGGAUCAACCUCUGGACUUCAUUCUUGAGAGGGUAGCAAUGCUCAAUAUCAUGCCCUGGUGCCUCUUAAUGGAAGGCAUAGGUGCGGUCAGUGCGGUACCGGGCAGGCAAAGGAUUUUGCACAGGAGGAGGCGGCUUGGUUUGAACUAGAUUGCUGACAAGCAAAGAGGGUAGCAAAUCUCCAUAUAGUAUAUAGUAUAGGUAUAAGAAGGAUUUAGGCUCUUGGAGGGCGACUCUUUUGCUGAGGGGCUUGAGGGUGAGGGUGUAGUUGUUGAGGUGGUGGAGGGUAAUAUGCUUGUUGGUAAAAUGGUUGAGGAUUAUAUGGGUAAGGUUGCUGGUAUAAGGGGGGAUAGUAUGGUGGAGGCCUUUGAGGAUUUUGUGGUCGAUAGUUUUGAUUUUGUGGAGCUGGGAUGGAUAGUGAGAUGUUAGCAACAAAGGGGUAAGCUGGGUACACUGGCUGAGAUCCACCAUGGGCCACCAUGCCGUCCUCUUGAGCAUUCUUCUUUAGAUACCGAUUUCCAAACUUCUUAAUACCAUCGGAAGAACCACCUGACGAACCACCUUCCUUAGUCACACGUCCCUUGCGGAUCCAUUCUUCAAUACGCACCCCCAUGUCUACCAUAUCAGUAAAUUUUUGCGUAACACAGCCAAGCAUUUUCUCAUAGUAGAAUGGACUCGGAGUUUCGAAGAACAACUCAGUCACUUCACUUUCAUCCAAAGGCGGGCAGAUUUCUGGAUGAAUCGUUGAGCAUAUUCCUUGAAGGUCUCCUUGUCCCCCUGCGUAAUAGCUUGCAAUUCUCUCCGGUUGGGUGCCAGGUAUGAAUUUUAUUUCUACUGGUGGACAAAAGCACUUACCAACUCCUCAAAAGUGGUAACACCUUUCAAGUUCAUAUACCAUAUAUUUGCAAUACCAGCCAAACUAUCUUGGAAAUAGUGGAUAAGUAAAGGUUCAUUGUCCUUAUAAGCUGUCAUCUUCCUUGCAUACAUGAUUAAGUGGUUUUGAGGGUAGGUAUCCCCUUUGUACUUCUCAAAGUCCGGUGUCUUGAACUUGGGAGGUUUCACCACAUUUGGAACCAAACAGAGAUCAUUCACAUUCUGACUAAAUGUAUCUUUACCACAGAUGGUCUUUAGCUUUUUCUUUACUGCAUCAAAUUUUUCUUCAAAGGUAUCCACCUUGUCAUCUCCCGCCACACUAUCAGAGUGAUAGAUCUGCUCCCCUCAUGUUGGGCAGGAUGAACAAUAGGUCCUGCAUGAGUGAUGGUAGCUUGAGAAAAUGGCUGAUCGGGUUGAAACAAUGGUGUUGAUUGAAAAGAAACGAUGUUUCUGGAGCACCCGGACGAACACCUUCAUUAGUCAUGAGUGACAUGCCCCAUGGGUAACCUUGAGGCAUGUAGUGCUGAGGAGUGAAAGUGAAACCAGGAGGGCCAGGAGGACGGAAGCCUGCAUUGUACAUAUUUGUCCAAUCACCAGAAGAGACCUCAGUCACAAGAGGUUGUGUAGUACCAGCGAGUGCAGUAGAACCAGGAGCAGUAGAAAAUGGCGGCGGAAUACCGUCAGAUGCAGCGAAACAACAACCGUAGGAAUCGGCUCCAAGACUAGUAUGUGUGCCUUCUCGGCCAUCAUAGUUACCAUCAUAGCCGUUAAUUUCUCCCUUCCUUCCUUGAGUGUAGCCACCUCUUCCCUAAGUUCCUAGUUAUCCUGAUCAGCGGAUGCCAUUCUUUUCUUGAUAUAAGCUCUAGUUCGGAGAGUGCGAGUAUAUUUGUACUGAAUUCAUGGGGCUACCUUUGCUUUUCUGAGGCAGAAAGGAGGAAAAUUUGAGACUUGGUUUUGGACCCUUCAUGAAUGUAGUAUGGUGCAUGAUAUGUUGUAUGCAAAAAUAUGCAAUUUUUAUUGUUUUAUCGAAGAACCUAUAGAAACACUUUUGUAAACAUAACAACUAAACAAUUUCAUUAAAUAAAUAAUGCAUUACAAGAUAAUUCUCUUUCUAACAACAAAGCCAAGGGAUAGACUUACAAAGUAAGAUAAUUCCUUUUUUACCAAACUGAGCCAAGGGAUAGACUCCAAAGUACAUAACAGAAAGCUAGAAAAUAACAUAAAAGUAAACAAUUCGGAAACUCUCAAGCUCCUGAAGCAAACUUAUCCACGAAAUCUGAAUACGGACCGUCAAAGAGAUCCAUACGCCUCUUCUUACUCCCGGGAACCCGGUCAAGUAUGGCAUCCUUCACUUCGAUGGAUUUUCUCAUUUUGACAAUUAUCUUGCGACCUUCCCAAACUUCUUCCUCUAGUAGGCCCAUUACGGUAUCAUAAUCCCGAUCUUUUUUUUUAUACUCUCCUUUCACAUGAAUUUUUCGCGUCCUGCGUCAGCCAAACGCCCCUAAAACUCCUCCAUGGUAUGCAGGUGUAAGGGUAAAUGUAUUUCUAGAGUGGUCGAGGAUAAGAACCUCGGUAAGGUGUAGGGCAUAUCAAAAGUCAUAGCUCUAUCAAUAACCCAUUGCGUAUAGGAUUUAUGUGCAAACCUCUGCUUUUCCCCUAAUUGGAUUCCAUCAAACUUACGAAUAGAGUGUCAAGCUUGCAUAAACCGCAUCCUCAUAUUUGCAUGAUCCUUACUAUUAAGAUAGAAUUCACUGAAUAAAGAAAGGUUGUCAGGCUUCCCUUUUAUAAGGUAUCCAUACUGCGCAUGACAAGAGUUGGUUGUAAGUAAUUCCUCUGCAUGUACCGAUAAGGGGCACAUUAUCAAAUUCUCCACAACUGCCAAUGAUUCCUUAAGUUUUAGCGGCUGCAUGGACCCAAAAAAUGUCGAUCGGGGUGAGAGGCAUGAUCCUUUGAGACUAAAGAGCUUUCCCGGUGUUUGCCUUGGAGAAGACAGAUUAGGGUAAGUGUGAAGCAUACAAUUUGUAUAGCAGAGGUGCACAACAAACAAUAGUUCCAUCCCCUUUGGAGUUUCUAUGGUGGAUUGAAUGGUACGUGUUCGCAAGUAAGGUAGGAACAGGGUUCUUAGUUAGGAAAAUUUUGAUUGCAUUGAGGUCGACAAAGUUGUCCAUGUCGGGAAACAAGAAAAGGCCAUAUAUGAGUAAGCCGAGGACAGAUUCAAAGGCAUCGGUCUUUUUGGCUUUAGCAAAGUCAGAGCCUUUUUGGUAAAGGAAUUUAGCGGUUAGGCCUUGAAAAUUGUUUUUGAUGGUGAAGUGAGGAUGGACUAUGUCGAGGGUAAAUACGUCAAUUGAAACCAUAGUCAUUAUCAAAUGACGUAUUUAUCUUCGACUCCAACAUUUUGGACCUUAACCUCACUAUGUAUUCUAUGUCCUUUAGCAUAACCAUGCAUUCAUCCAUAAAUAUUUUUUCCACUCAUUAAAUUAUGGAGGGACUUAAACAAGCUUUUUGUAAACAUUGUAGAUGAAUCCUCAAACAAGGAGUGUCAAGAAGUAUAGUUUCAAGAAACCGGAUUUGACAAGACUAAGAGAGCUAGGAUCUCAAGUAACUAAUCCAAUUGAUUUCCGAGAUCGUCAUGGGAGAUUGCUGGACCUCCUCAAGGUGAAGGUUGAAGAUGGAAUCAUGGAGACUUUGGUUCAAUUCUAUGAUCCGACCUAUCAUUGCUUUACUUUUGCGGAUUACCAGUUGGUUCCCACUCUUGAGGAGUACUCAGAUUGGGUUGGCUUACUGGUGUCAGAAAGAGAACCUUUCAACGGCCUUGAACCCGCAACCAUUGCAGCAGCUCUCCAUCUUAAACCUUCCGACAUAGUCCAUCCUCACUUCGCCAUCAAAAACAAUUUCCAAGGCCUAACCACAAAAUUCCUCUACCAAAAAGCCUCUGACUUUGCUAAAGCCAAAAUGACCGAUGCCUUUGAAUCUGUCAUCGCCUUACUCAUAUAUGGCCUUUUCUUGUUUUCCAACAUGGACAACUAUAUCAACCUCAAUGCAAUCAAAAUUUUCCUAACUAAGAACACUAUUCCUACCUUACUUGCGGACACAUACUAUUCAAUCCACCAAAGAAACUCCAAAGGGGAUGGAACUAUUGUUUGUUGUGCACCUCUGCUAUACAAAUGGUAUGCUUCACACUUACCCAAAUCCGUAUUCUCCAAGGCAAACACCGAGAAAGCUCUUUGGUCUCAAAGGAUCAUGCCUCUCACCCCGGCCGACAUUGAUUAGGUCCAUGCAGCCGCUAAAACUGAAGGAAUCAUUGGCAGUUGUGGAGAAUUUGAGAAUGUGCCCCUUAUCAGUACAUGCAGAGGAAUUUACAACCCAACCUUUUUCAUGCGCCAGUUCGGAUAACUUAUGAAAGGGAAGCCUAACAACUUUUCUUUAUCUUUAUCUGGUGAAUUCUAUCUUAACAUUAAGGUUCAUGUAAAUAUGAGGAUGCGGUUUGUGCAAGCUUGGCACUCUAUUCGUAAGUUUGUGCAAGCUUGGCACUCUAUUCGUAAGUUUGAUGGAAACCAAUUAGGGAAAAAUAAGAGCUUUGCACAUGAAUUUUAUACGCAGUGGGUUAUUGAUAGAGCUAUGACUUUUGGUAUGCCCUACACCUUACCGAGGUUCUUAUCCACGACCACUCCAGAAAUACCUUUACCCUUACCCUUGAAUACCAUGGAGGAGUUUCAGGUGUGUUUGGCUGACGAAGAACACGAAAAAUUCAUGUGCAAAGGAGAGUAUCAAAAAAAGGAUCAGGAGAAUGAUACCGUAAUAUGCCUCGAUCUUGAUUUCUUUCUUGUCUUCCUCAGUACCCAGAUUGAUGAUUUCUAUCUCUUCCUGAUGAGGUUGAAUUGUCUUUCUUUCUUGUUCCAACAUCCAUUUAAUCUCAUCAGGAAUCUCCUCGUCCUCCUCUACCAUAGCCUCGUAAACCGGGACUUCAAAGUUGGGAGGAAGCAUGGGGUUACUUUGUUCAACGGGCUCAUUUAUGUUCAGUCUGGACAUGAUUCAUGAUUGAUUUUAAAGAGUAAAUGCAGACCUUUGAUUUUGAAAUUUAAAAGAAAAAGAGAAUGAUUUUUGGGAUUUUUAUAAUACCAUUUUUUCCAUAAAAAGCACCAAAAAAUAAAAAUAAGGUAAUAAAGGCUGUGACAGAAACGGCGAUUUUCAUUCAUAAUAAAAGUAUUGGAAGCAAAGACAAAGCCCUACAUGAUUUCACUUUCGUCUUGGGCAGGACGAAAGGAGUUUUCUUAAAAGCAAAAAAGACAAAAGACAAGACCAACAUAUUAAUUAGAACGGGGUAUCGCAGAAGGAAUGUCUACCACAAUCUAGUUGCAGCAGGCUCCUCCAGGUGUCACAAAGAUAGGUGCCACACCUUCAGGUGCAUCGUCUGUAAUUCCAUUGGUCUCUGGCGAAUCAUGGAUGAAUCCGGCACUGUGGAAUGAGCCUUUGGUAGGGUCGAACAUCCUAGGCUUGCUGUUAGGAAAACCAAUUCCCUCUUUGCGUUUGUUCUAUGUUACUCCACUAGCUGACCUCAGCCUUCGGUUUUGCCUUCCUGAAUUACCCUCUAGGCGUCUUUCAACGAAGCCAUACAAGUCUCAAUCUUACCUACACUUUCUUCGGCAGAGACCCCUUGGAAGACGACCCGUCUGAACUAUUACCACCAAUAACGGAGAACGCAAACAGAUUGCUGAUCAAAAAGGCUGACUCAUCACUCACAAUAAUUAGCUUCUCAUGACUUACAAACUUCAGCUUCUGGUGGAGAGUGGAUGUCACUGCCCCAGCGUCAUGAAUCCAUGGUCUGCCAAGUAAACAGCUGCAAGAAGCCUAGAUCCCCAUGACUUGAAAAGUAACCUGAAACUCAUGUGGGCCGACUGAGAUUGGCAAAUCUAUCUCACUAUAUACUGAUCUUCUGGUCCCAUCAAAUGCCAUCACCGUCACCUUACUAGGCCUCAAGAGAGCCACGGAAUAUGUCAAUUGGUCGAGGGUUGAUUUGGGCAUCACAUUAAGAGCAGAGCCGGUGUCUAUCAGAACAUUUGAUAAGGAGUUUGUUUUGCAAAGUACAGAGAUGAGUAAUGCCUGAUUGUGCUUCUUCCCCACCGCCGGGAGGUCUUCAUCACUGAAGCUCAAACUGUUACACGCGGUCACAUUCCCCACAAUACUUUCGAACUGACCCAAAGUCACAUCAUAAUCCACAAAAGUCUGGUCUAGUACUUUCUUCAGGGCAUCCCCAUUAGCACCAGAGCUUGAUAACAGGGACAUUAUGGAAAUCUUUGCAGGGGUUUGUAACAACUGGUCCACCACCUUGUAUUCGCUCCUCUUGAUCAGCUUUAAGAUUUCAUCAGCAUCCUCAUAGUCAACUUCUUUAGGCUGCUCCCCAGCUUUACCUUUACAUGUGCUCCGUUCUUUUACUGUUUCUUCGACCGGAAUACUAACGCUUUUCUAACCCACGGUAGGAAGGACGCGGCUGCUUCUCAAAAUCCGACUACUCUCGGCAAUAUUGUCCGCAUAAGAGGAUGAAGUCGUUUCACUUCCGGGUUCUAGAAUUGUGCCUUCAUACUUAUAGGGUACGGCUUUCUAAGAAGUAGGAGGCGCGGGCCUAGGCACACAGAUUACCAAAGGAGUACCAGCAGGUCUUGCACUGUUAGGGUUAACCACAAGCGGCUUGCUGGCUCUAAAUAUCGGAGUAAUAACACAGACACUUUUACUCUUGACUUCUCUUGUAAUCACAGGUUCCUUUAUAUCUAGGAGACCCUGCACGUCAUUCUGGACUUGCAUGCAACCACGGGGAUCCACCGAACAUAUAUCACAAGCCUCGUGAUCGUGGCUGAAGAGAGCCGCUUCACACAUUUUCGCAUGUAUUGGUACUAAAGGGGUCUUGAUAUCACAUGUGUGGAGAAUGCAAGCCUCUUCCUGACAGUCUUGAAUCAUGUUAACAGCAGGCCCAUGGGGAGGCAGAGGAUUGUUCUAGAGUACAGGAUCAGGGUCGGUGAAAGUUAACUCUUUGCUAUUGAUCAGUUUUUAGACUUCUUUCUUGAGGGCAAAACAACGUUCCACAUCAUGACCUGGUGCCCCUUGAUGAUAAACACAAUGAAGGUCAGGACGGUACCAGCGUGGGAGAUGGUCUGAAAUGCGAGGAUGCAGUAUUGUUUGAACCAGGUUUUGUGCGAGCAAAGAAGGAAGUAAUGCUGCAUAAGUCAUUGGUAUGAGAUCAAAUUGUUGUCUUUGAUUCUGUUGAUUGUAGGGAGCCUGAGGACGGGGUUGUUGUUGUGGUGGGUAGUGUGGCCUUUGCUGGUAUGGUUGUUGGGGGUAAUAUGGUUGUUGAGGGAAUUGUUGUAGGUUGUAUGGUGGUUGAUAUAGUGGUGGAUAGUAUGGUGAAGGCACUUGAGGUCUUGGUGGUUGAUAGUUUGGGUUCUGUGGAGCGAUCAUUUGUGGGGUAAUGUUGGCAACAUAAGGAUGAUUAGGGUACACAGGCUGAGAUCCGCCAUGGGCCACCAUGCCGACUUCUUGAGUAUUCCUCUUUGAGUAACCAUUCUCAAACUUCUUAUUACCAUUAGACGAACUUCCUGCAGAAUUACCUGAAAAACUUCCCGAAGCACCAACUCCCUUACGAGCCCAUUCCUCAAUACGUAUCCCUGUCUCUACCAGGUCGGUAAACUUCUGUGAUGCACAAACAAUCAUUUUCUCUAAAUAGCAAGAGCUCAAGGUCUCAUAGAACAUUUUUGAUAAUUCCCUCUCAUCCAAGGGUGGACGAAUCUGGGCGGCCUUCUGGAUGAAGCGUUAGACAUACUCUUUGAAUGAUUCUUUGUCCUUCUGGGUCAAGGACUGCAACUCUUUGCGACUAGGCGCCAAAUAUGUGUUGUACUUUGCAUGAAAGCAUCAGCCAACUGUUCAAAUGUAGUGAUGCCCUUCAAUCCCAUGAACCAGGUAUGUGCAGGACCGGUCAAACUGUCCUGGAAGCAAUGAAUGAGCAAAGGCACGUUGUUCUUGUAGGUUAUCAUCUUCCUAAUAUACAUAAUCAGAUGAUUUUGUGGACACGUGUCCCCUUGGUAUUUUUCAAACACAGGCACCUUGAAUUUUGGAGGUAUAUUCACAUCUAGUACCAAGCAAAAAUCGUAUAUGUUCUGGACGACUGCUUCUUUACUACGCAUGUUACUCAUCUCUUUCUCUAAAGCACCAAACCUCUUUUCCCAGUUGACUGCUCUGUCAUCCCCCAUCAUACUGUCGGAAUGGUAAAUUUGUUCUUCAUUCCGCAGUAACCGAGAGUGGCCCGGCGUCCUUUCUAGAUAAGCAGGGCAAGGAUAGACUCACCAAAAUUCAAGUCUCACACUUCCCUCAUUUCUGCCGCAGUAACCGAGUGGCCCGACAUAUUCUGAUCAGACCCACCCGCGUUCACAACACUCGAGCCCAUAUCAAGAAGAGGAUGUUAGCUGCAGAAUAGGAAAACGCACAGCUCAGAGAAGAACUUGGUAACCUCAAGGGCGAGAUGGAAAGGAUGGCAAUUAUGAUGGAGACUAUGAUGGCUGAGAGAGAGCAAGCGGCAAUCUCAGAGUCAACCCGUGUUGUGGUCGUCACAGCUGCACCGAAGGGUUCCUCGCAGCCAAUUUCUACUGCUGCUGCAACUAUCGGCCUUACCCAGCCUCUGAUGAUCGAUUUUUCUUCUGGUAAUAUGGAAAAUGUGGGCAACUCAGGCUUCCGUCCUUUUGGCCGCUAGGGUCUCUUCUCCACUCCUCAGUAUUCCAUGCCUCCAGGCUACCCAUGGGGCAUGCCGCUUGCAACUAAUGAGGGUUUUCGUCCAAGUGCUACUGAAAUGCCAUUCGCUCACGGUUAACAGACUUCGCCACUUUUCCAGAUGGGUCAGCUAAUUCCUCAUGCUACUAUGACUCAAGCAGGACCUACUGUGCAUGUUGAGCCACAACAGGAAGAACAGAUUUACCAUUCCGACAGUAUAAUGGGGGAUGACAGAGCAGUCAACUGGGAAAAGAGGUUUGGUGCUUUAGAGAAAGAGAUGAGUAACAUGCGUAGUAAAGAAGCAGUCGUCCAGAACAUAUACGAUUUUUGCUUGGUACCAGAUGUGAAUAUACCUCCAAAAUUCAAGGUGUCUGUGUUUGAAAAAUAUCAAGGGGACACGUGUCCACAAAAUCAUCUGAUUAUGUAUAUUAGGAAGAUGAUAGCCUACAAGAACAAUGUGUCUUUGCUCAUUCAUUGCUUCCAGGACAGUUUGACCGAUCCUGCACAUACCUGGUUCAUGGGAUUGAAGGGCAUCACUACAUUUGAACAGUUGGCUGAUGCUUUCAUGCAAAGUACAACACAUAUUUGGCGCCUAGUCGCAAAGAGUUGCAGUCUUUGACCCAGAAGGACAAAGAAUCAUUCAAAGAGUAUGUCUAGCGCUUCAUUUAGAAGGACGCCCAGAUUCGUCUACCCUUGAAUGAAAGGGAAUUAUCAUAAAUGUUCUAUGAGACCUUGAGCCAUUGCUAUUUAGAGAAAAUGAUUGUUUGUGCAUCACAGAAGUUCACCGACCUGGUAGAGACAGGGAUACGUAUUGAGGAAUAGGCUCGUAAGGGAGUUGGUGCUUCGGGAAGUUCUUCAGGUAGUUCUGCAGGAAGUUCGUCUAAUGGUAAUAAGAAGUUUAGGAAUGGUUACUCAAAGAGGAAUACUCAAGAAGUCGGCAUUGUGGCCCAUGGCGGAUCUCAGCCUAUGUACCCUAAUCAUCCUUAUGUUGCCAACAGUUUGAUCCCUACAAUCAACAGAAUCAAAGACAACAGUUUGAUCCCAUACAAAUGACUUAUGGAGCAUUACUUCCUUCUUUGCUCGCACAAAACCUGGUUCAAACAAUACCGCCUCCUCGCAUUCCAGACCCUCUCCCACGCUGGUACAGUCCUGACCUUCAUUGUGUUUAUCAUCUAGGGGCACCAGGUCAUGAUGUGGAACGUUGUUUUGCCCUCAAGAAGGAAGUCCAAAAACUGAUCAAUAGCAAAGAGUUAACUUUCACCGACCCUGAUCAUGUAGUCCAGAACAAUCCUCUGCCUCCCCAUGGGCCUGUUGUUAACAUGAUUCAAGACUGUCAGGAUGAGGCUUGCAUUCUCUACGCAUGUCAUAUCAAGACCCCUUUGGUACCAAUACAUGUGAAAAUGUGUGAAGCGGCUCUCUUCAGCCACGAUCACGAGGCUUGUGAUAUAUGUUCGGUGGAUCCCCGUGGUUGCAUGCAAGUCCAGAAUGACGUGCAGGGUCUCCUAGAUAGAAAGGAACUUGUGAUUACAAGAGAAGUCAAGAUCAAAACUGUCUGUGUUAUUACUCCGAUAUUUAGAGCCAUGAAGCCGCUUGUGGUUAACCCUAAUAGUGCAAGACCUACUGGGACUCCUUUGGUAAUCUGUGUGCCUAGGCCCGCGCCUCCUACUUCUCAGAAAGCCGUACCCUACAAGUAUGAAGGCACAAUUCUAGAACCCAGAAGUGAAACCACUUCAUCCUCUGAUGUGGACAAUAUUGCCGAGAGUAGUCGGAUUUUGAGAAGUGGCCGCAUCCUUCCUACUGUGGGUCAGAAAAGCACUAGUAUUCCAGUCGAAGAAACAGUAAAAGAACGGAGCACAUGUAAAGGUAAAGCUAGGGAGCAGCCCAAAGAAGUUGACUAUGAGGAUGCUGAUGAAAUCUUAAAGUUGAUCAAGAGGAGCGAAUAUAGGAUGGUGGACCAGUUGUUACAAACCCCUGCAAAGAUUUUCAUAAUGUCCCUGUUAUCAAGCUCUGGUGCUCAUGGGGAUGCCCCGAAGAAAGUACUAGACCAGGCUUUUGUGGAUUAUGAUGUGACUUUGGGUCAGUUCGAAAGUAUUGUGGGGAAUGUGACCGCGUGUAACAGUCUGAGCUUCAGUGAUGAAGACCUCCCGGCGGAGGGGAAGAAGCACAAUCAGGCAUUACCCAUCUCUGUACUUUGCAAAACAGACUCCUUAUCCAAUGUUCUGAUAGACACCGGCUCUGCUCUUAAUGUGAUGCCCAAAUCAACCCUCGACCAAUUGACAUAUUCCGAGGCUCUCUUGAGGCCCAGUAAAGUGACGGUGAGGGCAUUUGAUAGGACCAGAAGAUCAGUAUAUGGUGAGAUAGAUUUGUCAAUCUCAGUCGGCCCACAUGAGUUUCAGGUUACUUUUCAAGUCAUGGAGAUCCAGGCUUCUUUCAGCUGUUUACUUGGCAGACCAUGGAUUCAUGACGCUGGGGCAGUGACAUCCACUCUCCACCAGAAGCUUAAGUUUGAAAGUCAUGGGAAGCUAAUUAUUGUGAGUUGUGAGUCAGCCUUUUUGAUCAGCAAUAUAUCUGCGUUCUCCGUUAUUGGUGGUAAUAGUUCAGACGGGUUGUCAUUCCAAGGGUUCUCUGCUGAAGAAAGUGUAGGCAAGAUUGAGACUUGUAUGGCUUCGUUGAAAGACGCCCAGAGGGUAAUUCAGGAAGGCAAAACCGAAGGUUAGGGGUCAGCUAGUUGAGUUACCAGAGAACAAGCGCAAAGAGGGAAUUGGUUUUCCUAACAGCAAGCCUAGGAUGUUCGACCCUACCAAAGGCUCUUUCCACAAUGCCGGAUUCAUCCAUGAUUCGCAAGAGACCAAUACAAUUACAGACAAUGCACCUGAAGGAGUGGCACCUGUCUUUGUGACACCUAGAGGAGCCUGCUGCAACUGGAUUGCUGUAGACAUUCCUUCUGUGAUACCCCGUUCUAAGUAAUAUGUUUGUCUUGUCUUUUGUCUUUUUUGCUUUUAAGAAAACUCCUUUCGUCCUGCCCAAGACGAAAGUGAAAUCAUGUAGGGCUUUGUCUUUGCUUCCAGUACUUUUAUUAUGAAUGAAAAUCGUCGUUUCUGUCACGGCCUUUAUUACCUUAUUUUUAUUUUUUUGCGCUUUUUCUAGAAAAAAAUGGUAAUAUAAAAAUCCAAAAAAUCGUUCUCUUUUUCUUUUAAAUUUCAAAAUCAAAGGUCUGCAUUUACUCAUUAAAAUCAAUCAUGAAUCAUGUGCAGACUGAACAAAAAUGAGCCCGUUGAACACAGUAACCCCAUGCUGGAUGAGGAGAUUCCUGAUGAGAUUAAAUGGAUGUUGGAACAAGAAAGAAAGACAAUUCAACCUCAUAUAGAAAUCAUCAAUCUGGGUACUGAACAUAAAUCAUAUGCAGACUGAACAUAAAUGAGCCCGUUGAACACGGUAACCCUAUGCUUCCUCCUAACUUUGACUUCUCUGUUUACAAGACUAUGGUAGAGGAUGAUGAAAAGAUUCCUGAUGAGAUCAAGUGGAUGUUAGAGCAAGAAAGGAAAGCCAUUUAGCAGGGGGUAAAUCAAAACAAAAAUAUUUUACAGGGGGUGAAUCAAAAUAAAUUUUUUACAGGGGGAAACCGGAAAUGACCCAUAUUACAGGGGGUAAAGACCUAUUUAACCUUAUAUUUGCAUGGUCAUAAAAGAAUAUGCUAGGAUUAGACCCUGAUGUUAAAAACAUAAGGUUUAUUCAAUCGUUUCCCCUUUUCCUUGGAAAAAAUAAAAGCUCGGUGGUGAACUUAAAUUUGUGAUUCAACGCUAACCAAUAGCUUGAUAUCCAAAAAUCACCACGAAAACGGCCAUAUUAGUCUGGAAGAUCUAGAGCCCAUUGAAGAAUGUCUUUACGACCAAGGUCUCUUUUCCUCUCUCGAGUUUCGGUAAAAACUGCAUUAACGCCUUAUGUGACAUUAACAAGCAAAAAAUCCGCUACAUUUGAUAUGAAUCCAAAAAAUAAGCUUUAUUGCGUAAAGAUUUCCUCUCUCACGUGUCUAAACUUUCAUCAUAAUUAACAAAAUAAUUUGAUAUGAAUCCAAAAAAAGUAGCUACAUUUGACUUACACAUUUAUCCGCAAUUUUCUGAACUUCCCCAUUAUCAAUCACUCCAUCCUUACCAACACGGGAAACGGUCCACACAGACGCACGUUAUAUCGUUUCUUCUUCCGCCUCUUCUUUCCUUUUUUGGAGCAAAUAUGCAUAACAGAAAAGAGAAGUCAGUACAGAGAAAGCAGCAUAGAGAAAUUGGUACAAAACAGAAAAUUCAGAAUUGGAGCCUUACAAUUUUACACAUACUUUCCAUAUUUUCUUCAAGACGAGCUAACCCCAUAUGGAUGUCUGGGAUUUAAAGCUCUUUCUCAAUUUUCCUUACUCCUUUUCUGCAUGAAUUAAAAUUUUAUUAGGUAGAUAAAAAAUACGAAGAUAAAAAUGAAUAGAGAAAAUGAAUGUCAAUGAAACAAAGGCAUUACCGAAAAUUCAGGAGUCAAACUCUGAGCUACAAAGGCAUCCCAAUGCUCUUGUUCUAUGUGGGGGAUACUUAUCCUUAGGAGAUUUGUCAACAACAUCAAGAUUAGUAUCUCUCAUAUAAAGUCUUGUAAAUGUGGUUUUGAAUGUUGUAAACAACCUUCCAGCUUCCAUUUUUACAUGAUUCUCAUGCUCAUCGCCAAAUAUGUAAUCUUUCUGCAAGACGACAGAGAUCAUUACGAAAUAUAAAUAGAUAAACGUAAUGAUAUGUUUUCAACUAGCUUGAGUAUGUGUUUUACCCGUAUCUCAUCCAAAACAUUUUCUUUGUAAGGUUUCAUUUUAGGAGCUCUCCAAUUUUCUAUACUAAUUGGAACCAUCCGACAAACGAUGACUCCUACAUAACUGACAAAACCUUCGCUUUCUUUCCCAACUGGUUGACCUCUAGCAUUCCAACGAACCUGAAGAAAGAUUGCAUGGUAGACAAAAUGAAUUCAGAAAUGCAUUAAAAGAUAAUGAUCAUCAAUUCAGCAAUACAAAAUGAAUUCAGCAAUCCAUAGGAGUAACCAUUCAGCUCAAGCUUAUCAAGACCAUUUUGGAUGAGUGUCAAACCAUGGGAGUAACCAGAUUUCAAUAAUGAUUAUCAAUUCAUACUAAAAUGACAGCAAAUCUUAUCAAGACCAUUUUGGAUGAGUGUCAAACCGUAGGAGUAACCAUUCCGCUCAAGCUUUUGCAAAGAAAUUCCCCUAACUAAAAGAUAACAUAAUUUUGUAUUUUUUUAAAUCCAUUUAUCUUAAAAUUAGUUAGGCAAUAAUUAAGUAUUUCAGUUCAUAAUUAAGUUUUCGGUCACUAGCAAAAAAACUUAUGAUGAACGGAACUUUAACUAGCAGUUUAUUUGUCCAGUUAACAUCAAUUCAUUGUCCACAAACAAGGAGUCUACAUUAAAUUUAUAUUGUCUAAUAUACCUAAAUUAUUAAAAUCUCAACCAUUAAUUUUGCGACUCUUUUUAAAGGAUAAAAUUACUCAUCGAAAUGGCUGGUUGUUUGCAUCGAACAAUAUAUAAUUAUCUCCAUCUCAAACAUAACAUAUUAAUGUCACUUUCUUCUAUUUUAUAUCUCAACAUAUCUAGAUUUAAUGGUGUUUAAUGUAUCUGUGGCAUUGCAAGUAAUGACAAUGAAUUUGUGAAAUUGCAAGUGAUGAUGAUGAGUUUGAGACAUUGCAAGUGGUGUUUGAGGCAUCAGAUUCAGAUCAGACAUUAAAAGUGAUGGAUAUCUUAUAUAGCCAAACAGUUUUUAUUUAAUUUGAAAGAAGUGGCUCUUUGCAUAAAGGAAGGCGAUUGAAGCUUAAGGCAUCAGAGUUAAGCCAGAUUACUAAUAUAAUGAGGAUGAAGAGGGCAACCCAGUGCACUAAAGCUCCCGCAUACGCAUAUGCAGCCUUACCUUGUUUUUACACAAGAGGUUGUUUCGAGGAAUUGAACCCGUGACCUUUCAGUCACAUGACAACAACUUUACCGGUUGCGCCAAGGUUACCCAUAAUGAGGAUGAAGAAAAUUGGGAAAAACAAUUGGAGAGAACUGAUACAUUGAUCAGUUGUGACUUGUAUUGAAUUAUAAUUGGACAGUAAAGAGAUCUUGUAAUGCAAAGUUAAAAAGAGCUCUAGUAAGUUAAAAUUUCAUUGAUCCAAAUUACCAAGUCUGAUUACUAAAUUGUAAGGAAAAGAGCUAAUUGUGCGCUUUCAAAUUAAAUAUGCUUGUUUGUUUGCAAAUUAGAGGCUCCAAACACACAUCCACCUUGCUCCUACCGUGAUUUUUAAUAAGCUACAAAACCAAGCUUCUGCAUCACCGCAGUUUUGGCAAACUUGUCGCAUGACAAAAUAGACACUAUUUCAAAAUUCAACCCAAAAUUAGAGGAUUUUUGUGUUCACUAUCCUAAAAAUAGACCAGUUAUGAAAAUUAAACCAAUAAAACUAAGAGCCUCUCACACUUAAUUAAUCAAAAAAGUAGAACAUGUGCCAGUAUCACGGUGAGGAUAUAAACAUCCAAAACUAGUAUUCCAUAUCCAAAGGAAAAUUAUAUUAGAAUUUAGAAGCUUAACCUUAUAACAAAUGGCAUAAGAAAUUGUAAAGUUGGAUAAAAGCUUAACCUUAUUAAUAUGCAUCUUAAUUCUAGAUUUAGUGGGGUCCCCAAUAUGCAUAUCAAUAUUGACCAGAAUAUAUUAGUACUUAUAACCACAAUCAAAAAUUUAACUACUUAUAACCACAAAACACAAAAACAACUAUUUAACUUAACCAAUGAACACAUAACCAACUAUUGAAUACACAGAGACAAAGAGAAACAGAGACAAGUUGGUAAAACAUAUGGAGCCUUAAAACUCUAUGAAAUAGGAAGGAACGAUUCCUUACCGUUCAUGAAAAACAAACAGAGACAACGGGGACGGCCACAAUGGAUGCUCCUUGUCUUUAGUUCCAAUCGAUCAAUCAACUGAUGCUCUAUAAGCAGAAGCUAUAAGUAGAAUCUGUAAGUAAAGACGAUGAAUAAUUUAGAAGUUAUACGAAAACCCCAUAAGCAUAGGCAACAAGGAAGAUCCAUAAGUAUAAGUUAUAAGCAAAAAAAAUAAAAGUUACUCCCUCCGUCCCCCGUCCCUUAAAAAGUUAACUUUUUCUUAUAAUAAGGACCGGAGGGAGUAGUAUUUAUCAGGGGCAUGUUUAGAAAAAAAUAAUGAAUAGGUGCUAGGGAUGGAGGGAGUAUAAACUAUAAGCAAAAAAAAAUCUAUAAGCUGAAUCUAUAAGCAGCAUCGAUAAACAAUUAGAAGCAAUAAGCAUAAGUUACAACCAAAAAACAGAAAAGCUAUAUAAACUAUAAGCAGAAGCUACAAGCAAAACACAAGAGCCAUAAACAGACAAAUUUAUAAGGGAAAACAAACAUGACCUACCGAUGGUGAGAGAAAUCGUCGGAGAAUGGAUCACACCAGAGUUAGAAUCGGCGGCAGAGAUGGUGAGAGAGCAAAAAGAAAUCGAUGAGUGAGUGAGUGAGUGAGUGAUGGAGAAGAAUGGUUUUGGGUCUAUCACUAAAUCUAUGAGCUAUUCUAACGGCAUGAUUUUCCGUGAGUCUGCCAGCGUGUACUUGUAGUUUGGAAAUGGAGAGUAUUUUGCUAAAAUUUGGAGCUGGCCAGCUUGGAAUGACCAACGUACUACCAACAACGGGUCAAGAUCCUCCCAUUUAUAACUUUUUCCAUUUAUUGUAAUUUGGAGAGAGAUAGACACAUAGAAAAUAAUGAUGGUGGGAUCCACUUAGUGAUAGGACCAUCACUUAUUUUUUUUUGUCUAUCUCUCUCCAAAUUGCAACAAAUGGAAAAAGUUAUAAAUUGAGAGCAUCUUUACCCCCAACAACGGGCAUCUCCAACGUUUUGAGUUUAAUACUAAUUCUACUUACUAGACUACCGUUACUCUUAAAUUAGUCCACCUAACUUUACACCGAAGAGAAUCGAAUUUGAUAUCUCAAAUAGGAGCACACUCAGAGGUCUCAAGUCAAUACUAAGUGGGUUAGUGUCCCAGCGUUUUUAAGAAUUAAAUUAUUAAAAGUAAAUAUUUUAAUUUUCAAUGCAAUAAAUACACAAACUUUUAUAUAAUAUUAACACUUUAGGUGCUUAAUAUUUCCCUUGAACAUUUUAGACUUCUAUGCUGACCUAUUCCUAAUUAACUACUCCUCCCUUCAUCUAAAAAAAAAAUGGUUUUGAGAGUCCUUGACAAGUAUCGGUACAUUCAUCAUUAUCAUAAAUGUAAAGUGGAGGAAGUUGAUUUAGGAAUGAUAAAACUAGUGCUCCCUUUGUUUUCACAAUGAUUGUCGUUUAAGGUUUUGUCACACAGAUUAAAAAAUAAAAUAAAAUAAUCAUUAGACAUUGCUCUUUUACUAAACUACGCUUACUUUAUAAGAAAAGGACAAAUUUUGCAUUGAAAAUUGUGUGAGAUAAAAGUUUGAGUAUUUAUUGAAGGUAAAGUUGAAAGAAAAAAAAUUAAAGUUGUAUUGGAAAUGUAAUGUGACAUUCAGUUUGAAACAUUUUUUUUUUUUGCUAAAGUGACACUCUUUGUGAAACGGAUGGAGUAUUAAUUAUAUAAUGUAUAAUUGAAAAAAUAAAUUAAUAUUAUAUUAAAAAGUAAAAUAGGUUAAUUAUUUUGAUAUAAUAUUUUAUUACAAAUGGCUCAGUUAUUUUGAAACGAAAGAAGUAGUAGUUAUUAUCAUUCUAAAGGUUAGAGGGACUUAAUAACUAAUUUACUUACUUCUAAAAAUCUAAUACAUAAUAUGGUUAAAUAUAUUUUUGGUCGUUAUAAAUAUAUUAACUUUUUGUUUUCGUCACCCUAAAAUUUUCCUUCAUUUUUUUAAUCUCUAUAAAAUUUUCUAUCACUAUUUGGUCCCUGUUUUUAAGUCAACUCAUGUGUAGACUUUGUGUUUUUUAUUGAAAUUAUGUAGAAAUGUGUAGAAUAUUAUAAAAAUCUCUCCCCAAAAAUAUAGAAUUUUUUUAACAAAUCAUGAAUUAAAUAUGGAUAUUUAACCGCCAAAAAUAUAAAAUUCAUAUUUUUUUUUACCUUAAAGACAAAUUCAUUAAUGAAAGUCUCGCAAUGAAUCAAAAGCCAAGACUGCAGAAAUACAAGGCGGAGUUUCUUCGAUCCAUAUGCAAUCUAAAUUCUUAAGAGCAUAAUUAGCUAAGUAAUGAACAGCUUGGUUGGCUUCACGCCUAACAUGCAAAAAAAUUAUACUACGAAAACUACCCUUCAAACUAAUACAAUCUCGAAUAAUAGAGUCAACAUAGUUAGGAGAUUGGUGGUGAGUAUUCAACGCUAAAACCACAUUAGAAACAUCUAAUUCAACAUACUUCAUGUUUUGUUAAAAAAUUCUAAUUUUUUUUGGAGACGUUCUUAUAAUAUUAUAAAUUUUCAUGCAAAAUUUUAUUAAAAAAUAUGAAUUCUACAUAUGAGUUACAUAAAAAGAAUGACCAAAAGUGAAGAUAGAAAACUUUUGAGAGACUAAAAGUCAAAGAAAGUUUUUAGAAGGACUAAACGAAAAAUUAAUAUAUUUAUAGGGAUAAAAAAUAUGUUGGCUUAAUACAUCACCCGGUCUCUUAACUUAUUUUAAUUUCUCAGUUUGAUCUCUUAACUAUAAAGUGUUUCAAUUUGGUUCCAUAAAUCUUCUGGCGUUUACUAUUUUGGUCUUCACCGUUAGUUUUUAACCUUAAAUGUCUAAGGUGAACCAACUUCUUAGGUGGUCUAUCAUAAACUUUAUUAAAUUUUUUAAUUUUAACCGUUGGAUCUUUUUUUUUAAAAUGAAGAUUGUUGGAUCAUGGAGGGGUCUAUUCUAGCUUAUAAUGAACUACAAUCACCUAAUUUUUUUUCUUCCUUAUUUCCCUACCAAUAUUCUUCAUUUGCAUCUUUAUUCAUCAUCAUCUUCAUCUUAAACAAAAACCCAGAAAUAUCCAUUUCCAAACCCAGCUCAAUCAUAAGCCAUGAUCCAAUGCAUAACACACAAUUCAACAACAGAAGCUCAUCAUAAAUCACACUACACAAGUUCAUAAUCAAUCCAAAUCUAUAAACAACAACUCUUUCAAUCCCCGUUCUUUCAUUUCUUACAAAAUCCCAACCCAAAUUUCACCUUCCACAUUCUACCCUCGCCGGAACACCCCCAUUAACCACCAUCUCCAUUAUUGAAGGAAGCUUGAUUUUUAUUUUUUUUUGGAGAAAAUGGGUUUUGGUCUAAUUUUGAGAAGUCUGGCUCCUUCAAAAGUUGUGGCUUUCUCUUAGACGAUACUUUCAACCGUAUACCAACGAUACUUUGAGACGAUACUUUAAGUAGAUUGAAUAUAUCUCCCUGUAUCUUCUAUGAGUGGAGUUGGAACCCGAACGAGUGCUUAAAAAGAUGAUUUGGGUGCGGUGUUUGGCUCACCCAGUCCAUGGAAUUUAGCUUUUGCUAGGGAGACUAACUUAUCCUUUGUUUUGGCCUUCUGUUUUUUUUAUGUCGGGUGUUCUGAACGUAACUGUGUUUCUGUGGAGUUAUAUCCCUUUAUUAGCAGGUUUUUGUCUGCUUGUUUCUUUUGGUUCUUGCUUUAUCGGUGUAGCGGUUUUUUUCCGACACUUGUUAUAAUGUGUCUUUUGGUGCGGUGCCUCUUUUAUACGACAUCUUGUAAUUUUUUAGUGGGUUUGCGGUUCGUCUUGUGCAAGAAACUCUUUUUUUUUGUGGUGGCGGGGAUUCGAACCACGGACCUUACAUAUAUUAUGCAUUCUUCUUAUCAAAUGAGCUAAGCUUACGGGGACUUGUGCAAGAAACUCUUAUAAUACAGGCAAAAUUACACUAGAUGACAUUUAUCUUAUUUAUUUGUAACACAUUAGUUCUUUAUUUUUUGUCCCGUUUAAAUCUUUUAUCUGUAUAAAUAUGUAAAAGUUUAUAAUUUUAUUUUUUUAUUAAAAAAAAUACACCUUCAAUUAACUCUUUUUUUGAAAGGGCAAUUAAUUUAUUAAAAACCUUUCUUUUAUAAAUCCUUUCUUUCAUUUUUUUUCAUUAAAAAAAUGCUGGAAUAAUAAUUUUAUUAAUAGCCUUAUUUUAAAAAGAAAUUGUAUUAAAAAUAAAGAAAUGCAUAAACCAUAUGAACAUCUUUAUCCUCUUGUUCUUCAUCCUUAUAGUCUUCCUUAAACCAAAUCAAUGCCUAGUCAAAUACACCUUCAAUUAACUUACGUAUCUUCACUUUUAUCUUCUAAACGCAUAAUUCUAAAUCCACAGAUGUCAAAAAAACCUUAAAUUUACAGAGAAAAAACCCCCAAAUUCAAUUGAAAGAGUUAAGGAAUCAAGUUUGUUAUUUAAUCUUCACUUUCUCCCUAAACUUAAAUGCAACUAGAACAAAUGUUGUUUUAACAUUUCUGUUUCUCUAUAGAUAAACACUUAUAACAGUCCUAUUCUAUGGUCACUAAUGUAAAGUAAGACAUGAAUCCACCAAGAUUUUAGACCAAAAAAAGGAGUAAAUAGUAAUAUUUGUAUUUAAGUGUGGGCUUAAAUAUGGUUUUGGUCCCUGGUAAAAAAAAAAUUUGAACUCAAUCCCUGCAAAAUUUUUUGUUUUUUAAAAAGAUCCUUGGCCCCACUUUCUUGUCUAUGUGUCUGAUUUUUGCAUAUGUGUCACCUGCUAACUGUUCCAUUUUGCACAUGUGGCAGCCAUGUCAUUUAAAAACAAUUUUAAAAAAACAGAAAAUAUAUUUACUUAAUAAAAAUUAAAAAACAAAUAAUUUUAAUUAAUUGAAAAAAAAAUAUAAUUGUGUAAUUAGGGGGGAAAAUUCUAGGGUUUCUCAUUUCCCCCAUUUCUUCUUAAUCGUUCCUUUUCUUCUCAUUCUUCAUCUCAAUCGUUCCAUCUUCAUCUGGUCCUUUUCAUCGCCAUUUUCUGAUCAAAGUCAUCCAAACUGAAAUCUAACACAAUCCAUUCGUUUCAGGUAUGUUGGUUUCGUGUUCGUGUUCGUCGUUCUUCGUUGAAUCCGUUCGUGUUCUCCUUUUUCGUUCUGGUUUUGAUUUCGUUAAUGUAUGGUUUGUGUUGGAGAAGGUACAACCGACGGCUAGGAUCUUGUUAGGGAUUCUUUAUACUGUAAGUUUUCACAAAAACAACAUAUUUAAUGUCGAAAAUAGUAGUAGUUGUGUGUAUUUAUGCACUGUUUUGUCGUUUUCCUUGUGGGGACCAAAGUGGAAAUUUUUUUUGAUUUUUUUUUUGUUCCAUUUUGCAUGUGCAGCAUGUCUGUAACCGUUGGGUUUCAUCAUGGUGGGUCUUUUGUAAGGGACUGGCUUAUCUAUUACAAAGAUGGUGUAGAGUCAGUUAUAGAUGUUGAUGCAGAUAAGUUUUGCUAUUUUGAAGCUAAAGGAAUAGUGGAUGAGUUAGUGAAACAGUUUAAGUAUGGGGAAGAUUAUAGGUUGUGGUGGCAGGUUGAUGAAGAAGUUGGGUUUAAAUUGUUUAGGUUGGAUGAAGUUGCUACUGAGAUCAUGAAAUAUGCAGCAAGAAAAAGAUGCAUGUAAGGUUACCAUAUAUGUUGAGCAUGAUGUGGUUGAUAAGGAUGCUGAUGUAAGGUUACCUAGGUGUGUUGAUGGUGAUAUGGUUGAUAGGGAUGCUGAUGUAAGGUCUGAUGCAGAGGUUAUGUGUAUGGAUAAGGGGAAGGAAAAGUUUGUUGAGAAUGAAGAGGAAGAUAUAACAUAUGAUACUUGAGUUUCAAGUAGUGAGGAGGAUGAGGUCAGAUGUGUUACACUUGAUGAUAGUGAAGAUGAAAGAGGUUUGGGUUUGGAUGAUGGUUUUGGAUUGGAAUAUUCCCUACCUAAGAAUGGAACAAAUAGAGUCAUGAUUGAAGGUAAAGAAUAUAGGGUGAAAAAGAGAGCAUGCAAAAAUCCAACCAAGAAAAAGACAAAAGUUGCAAGUAAAGGUCAUGUUCUAUUAGAGGAUGUUCAGAUUGAUGGUGAUUAUGAAAGUGAUGAGUUGGGUAGCAGUGACCCUGAUGAUUCUGAUAGGGAGAAAGGUCCUAAAUAUGAAAAGUUUAGAAAGACACAACUUUGUAAGACAUUUCAGUUUAAGGUUGGAGUGGAGUUCAGUUCUACUAAGGAGUUCAAAGAAGCAAUAAUUGAAUGGACAGUAUUAAAUGGAUAUGAAAUAAAGUUUGUGAAAAAUGACUUGAUAAGAUGUAGAGUGGUUUGUAAAAAGAGGGAAAAGGAUGACUGUAUGUUUUUGGCUUUAUGUAGUCAAGUGAAUGGCCAACACACUUAUAGGAUUAAGACAUGGGAUGGGGACCACACAUGUCUUAAAGUAGGUGAAAAUAGAUCUGCCACAUCCAAGUGGGUGUCAAAAGCUGUUGUGCCAGCUUUGAUUUCUAAUGAAAACUUGAGGGUCACCACUAUAAUGGAUGACAUGAGGAGGGAUUAUGGUGUGGGAAUAACAUUUGGGAGGGCAUGGAAAGCUAAGAUGAUAGCUAGGGAAAUCAUUGAUGGUGAUGCUACCAAACAAUACUCUAACUUAUGGAGAUAUGCAGCUGAGAUUCAUAGGGCUUCAGAGAAAAACACAGUGAAAAUAAAUGUUGAAAGAGUGGGACCAACACUUCAGCCUAGAUUUGGAUCUUUCUAUUUUUGUUUUGAAGGAUGUAGGAAAGGGUUCUUGAAUGGUUGUAGACCUUUCAUAGGUGUGGAUGGAUGUCACUUGAAGACACAAUAUGGUGGUCAAUUGUUGAUAGCAGUAGGCAGAGAUGCUAAUGACCAAUAUUAUCCUCUUGCUUUUGGCAUUGUUGAAGUUGAGAACAAAGAAUCAUGGAGGUAGUUUUUGACCUUGUUACUUGAUGAUAUUGGUACUGAGAAGAGAUGGGUCUUUAUUUCAGAUCAACAAAAGGUAAAAUUGAUUUGUUAUAACUUUCUAUUAUAUGCUUUUUUAUAACUUUCUAUUAUAUGCUUACUGUUUGUCAUCAUUAAUUGAAUUGAUUUAGUUACUCUUUGUCUUCAUGGUUGUGUUUUUUUGAAGGGACUUAUGUCUAUAUUUGAUGAGUUACUUGAAGUUUGUGAGCAUGUACUUUGUCUGAGGCACCUAUAUGCAAACUUUAAGAAAAAGUUUGGAGGAGGUACUGCUAUUAGAGACUUAAUGAUGGGGGCAGCCAAAGCAACAUAUUACCAGGCCUGGGAGCAAAAGAUGCAAGAACUAAAGGCACUUGAUUUGGGAGCAUGGGAGUGGUUGAUGCAGCAUCCUACUAAGCUUUGGUGUAAGCAUGCUUUUAAUUAUUACUCUAAGUGUGAUGUUUUGAUGAACAAUUUGUCAGAAGCUUUUAAUUCCACAAUAUUGUGUGCAAGAGAUAAGCCACCCAUUACCAUGUGUGAGUGGAUUAGAACAUAUCUGUUGAAUAGAAUUUCAACAAUUAGGUAUAAACUUAGUUCAUGGCAACAUAGGAUAAUGCCAAUGUCUAGAAAAAGACUAAAUGUUGAAAUUGAAUUAAGUGAAAACUGGAGGGUCAUUUGGAGAAUAGAUGAUGAAUAUGAAGUUAUAAAUUAUAUGGGGGAUAUCAGUACAUAGUUGAUAUUGGGAAAAUGACUUGUACUUGUAACUUCAGGCAGCUAGUAGGUAUUCCCUGUAGGCAUGCUAUUGCUGCAAUGGGUAAAAGGUCUCAGAGACCUGAGGAUUAUGUUGAUGACUGUUAUUCUAGAGCAACCUAUGAAAGAUGCUAUAGUUAUGGUGUAAGUGCACUUAAUGGUGAAGAUAUGUGGCCAAGUGUGGAUGUGGAAGAGAUGUUGCCACCUUCUUAUAAGAGAGGACCUGGAAGGCCAAAAAAAUUAAGAAGAAGAGAACCUGAUGAAGAUGGAAAUGGUAGAAAAUACAAGAGGCAAUGUAUUAGAUACAGAUGCACAAAGUGUGGUCAGUCAGGACAUAAUAACAGAUCAUGCAAAAAUGAAGUUGUUAAUCCAGAUGCACAGAAAAGGAAGGUAAAAUUGUGAUUACAAUUAUAUUCGUGAAUAAUCUUAAUAUAUUUGUAAACUUCUAAUCAAUUAUAGUUUGUGAACUUUAACAGAGGAAGCCACCAAGGAAUGCAGCAACUGUGGAAAACCAAGAUGCAACUGUGGAGAACCAAGAUGCAGAAAUUGGAAAUUCAGAUCCUAUCAUUGCUGAACCUAUCAUUGUUGAACCAGACAACACUGCAAAUGGAAUUCCAGAUGUUAUCAUUGCUGAACCUGCUGGAAAGCCUACUAAGCCAACUGUUAAACCUGCUAAGCCAACUGUUAAACCUGCAAAGCUUGCAAAGCCAACUGGAAAACCUACUAAGCCAUCUGCUAAGCUUGCAAAGCCAACUGUUAAACCUGCAAAGCUUGCAACACCUGUUAAUGACAAGAACCCUGUUAACCCUGUUCAGCCUCCAUCAAAGGUUAAUCUAACAUGAUGUUUUAUUUUUUAAAUUAACUUCUUUGAUGAAUUAAUCUAACAUUAUCUUUAUUUUUAAUUCAUAGAAAAAAUCAGAGAUAAUCUAUGAUGUUACUCAACUCAAAAAGAAGGCAGCCACCAAAUUGACAUGGAAAGGAAGGACUUGUUGUGAAGGAUCUACAUCAAAAUCAACUUCCAAAGUGCUAGUUUACAAUUUCAAUCAUCUUAGAAGGAGUGGGAGGACAUGUUACUUUGGACCACAACCAAAGGAAGGUGCACCAGGAACUGUUGAAUCAAAUCCUAUUGAAGUUGGAGUAGAAGAUAAUGGGGAACUAACUCAGGAGAACUAGCUGACUAGUAUAUUCCAUAUUAUGAUGUAAUGGCUGUAGACAAUGCCUUAUUUUGAUGCAAUGGCUUUAGACAAUGCCUUAUUUUGAUGGAAUGGCUUCAGACAAUGGCAUAAAUGCCUCUAUUUUGUAUGUAAUGGCUUAUGAUAGUGCCUUAUUUUGAUGCAUAUAUCUAUUUGCUAUUUUCUCUAUAACAGUUGCUUUUGUUUAAGAUGCUUAAGGUGGUUUUACUUUUUGCUGUAUCUGUUAAGGCUUAUGCAGAGUCAUAGAUGAAUAGCAAGUGCAUUCAUGGCUUAAGCAAUGACAAAAUUACACAAUGAACACAAUGAAACUUUUUCAUUCAAUUAACCAUAGAGGUACAUUAAAGUUCUUACACAUGAGUACUUAAACAUAAAGAUACUAAAACAUCAAAUUACAAACAAACUAAGAUAACUUCUUAACAGCCUAAACAAAGCCAACCAACUUAACCCAAACAGCCACCUAAAAUUUUUCAAACCAUACAAAGAAAACUCAGUUAAUGAUCAUGAUCAAUGACAUCCAUUUAACCUUCUUAUUCUCAUCCCCAUAUUUUGUCUUCCAUUUCGCAAUUUCAUUCGACUCGAAUGCCUUCAUAACUUCAUCAAUGUUUUCACAUUUGCUGCAAACUUGAUUUUUCCUUCCAUCCAUUGAACUAUCUAUUGCAGGUGUAACUUCGAUCAUUGUUGUAACACCAGGUAUAAUAUCAUCGUCCCAGAUGUACAAGUUGCAGGUACACAUAGUCUGUUGAAUAUAUCCAGUACACAAUCAAUCAAAAAACAGGACAGCGAUACAUUAAUGAAACAAGUAAUUUGUGCAUAAACUCACCUUGCUGUUCCAGUUACGACACCUCCAAAACAUCCAACCUUGAUUCGCAUCAGUGUUGGCAAUGUAAGCCUUCAUUGGUAAAGUGCAGCCACAAGCUGGUAGGAUAACUGGCAACGAAUCAACAUCAUUUUCCGAGAUAUGACGGUGACUACAACGACAACCUUGAGUGUAACUUGCUCUAAAUCUUGAAGUCGAAUACGACUGUGACCCUCUACUUCCUGAAUACCCACCUCUGCUACUUGACAUUUUUGGUCGAUGAAAUCUGAAGCACAGGGUCGAGUAGAAAAGGAUCGGCGAUGCAAGGAAAGGAUGAAGAUGGAUGGAACGAUUGAGAAGAAAAGGGCGAUUGAUCAGAAAAUGGCGACUGAGAAGAAGAUUAAAGAAGGAAAGGAACGAUUGGAAGAAAAGGAACGACUGAGAAGAAGAUUGAGAAGGAAAGGAACGAUUGAGAAGAAAAGGGAGAAAUGAGAAACCCUAUAUUUUGUUUCAAUUAAUUAAAAUUAUUUGUUUUUUAAUUUUUAUUAAGUAAAUAUAUUUUCUGUUUUUUUAAAAAAAAAAAAUUAAAUGACAUGGCUGCCACAUGUGCAAAAUGGAACAGUCAGCAGGUGACACAUAUGCAAAAAUCAGACACAUAGACAAGAAAGUGGGGCCAAGGACCUUUUUAAAAAACAAAAAAAUUUGCAGGGAUUGAUUUCAAAAAAAAUUUUUACUAGGGACCAAAACCCAAAUGCCCUAUAUUUGGAGGGACCAAAACCAUAUUUAAGCCUUAAUUGUAUAAGGUAAAAUGGUCUUUAAUACAACAAAAUUACAAAAAAAUAUCUAAAAUUUUCUUUUGUUGGUCAUUUUAAUCUUGAAAUGUGUUUUUUGUUACUCAACUUAAUACUUAAAAAUGAAAAUUAAUAACCAAAAAUAUAUUUCUAGGUAUUAUUAGAAGUUAGAACAUAUCACACAUUUUUUAUCAAAAAAAAACAUGUCACACAUUUAAAAAUCAAAAUAAUUAUUUUUUUCUCAAUGUAAAAAAUACAAUCGUUAUGCGGUUAACGAUUGUAAGUCCGUGAAGAAGAAAAUACAAUCGUUAUACGGUUAACGAUUGUAAAUUCGUGAAGUUAAGCAAUCUUUUUUAGAAGGAGUGAAGUUAAGCAAUCUAUCGGCAUAUAAUUCAAAUCAAUAUCAAUUAUCCCCAUCCAUUCUAACCAUUUGUCUACUACUAAUUACUAAGCAAACAGUUCCAAAAUUAACAAAAACUGAAAAGUGUUGAAGAGAGAAUAGGAGGAAGAAAAAAAAAUGACAUCAAUUAAAGUGUAGAAUCAUAACCCUGACCAAAAAAAAAAGUGUAGAAUCAUAACUAGUUCACACUCUCUCUUGCUUCUAAACUAUUGUUGCAGUUACGCUGCGAACUUUGAUAUUGCUGCAAAAUACAGGCAAAUUAUUUAGUCAUAGCAAUGGAAAAGUCGUUGCAGAGACCUCUAAAACUUUUAUGAUACGCCCAUAAUUAUGAUUGUGGACCGCAAUUUAGAACAAAGUCCCUCGACUCAAGCUUUCUUCUCCUUAACUGGUGACAUAAAUAGAAACCGAUAAACCAUAGCAGCAGAACUAGCACCAAUUAAAGGACAUAUCCAAAAAACAUAAAAUUGCUCCCAAGUAUUGUGCUUAUUGUUCAUAUAAGCCCAACCAAAUGCAUUAGCAGGGUUCAUAGAAGGUCCAGUGUAGCCAGAACCUAUAAUAACCAAAACCAAAGUAGCCACAGAAAGCAAAUAAACCUUCAACCAAGGAUUUUUAGGACCCUUAAGCAUAACAAGAAGAAUAACAAAGUUAUGAGUAAAAGUCAAAACCCCUUCAGCAAUAGCACCUGUAUGCAAAUCAACCUUCAAAGAUGGACCUUUCACCAUGUCUUUGUAUUCUGUUGGUAUAACUUGAAGGAUGGAUUUGAUGCCAAUAGCUCCACCUAUUGCUUGAGCAGGAAACCUUAUGGCAAAAGAUAGAAGAGAUGAAUCUGGUCUUAGUCCUAAUGUGUAGAAGGAAAUUGUGGAUGAAGGGUUAAAACUAGCACCACCUAAGAUUCUUCCAAUAAGGCUUAUUGUGAGGAUGAUUAUUGUGUUUAGGAUGGUUGUGAUGAAUAAGCCUGGUAGUGAAAGUGGUUGAAGGUUGAGAAAAAGAGAUGUUUUUGUAGAGAGAAUUCUUAAUGUUGAGAUGAAGAAAACAAAUAUUGAUGUUAGAAUUGCAUCUCCUAUGGCUGAUUUAAUCACUCCCAUUUUUUUUUUCUUCUUGUUUUGUGUUUAGGUUGUUUAGGCUUUUUGUGUGUUCCUUGUUUAUUGGUAUUGGAACUUGGAAGAUGAAACACUCUCACUCACAUAUUUUGGAUGUAGUUAGAACACACUAUCUUCUCUUUCUUGAAGAGCAAUGAGCCAACACAUAAAUAAGGAAGGACAUUCCUAUUGGUUGGCAUGUGUACUUUGUGGGGUAUUGUUUAAUAGUACUUCAUGAACAUCUUUUAAAAGAAAAAACAAGUGAAUGUUAUGAUUCCUUCAAAAAAAGUGAAAUGUUAUGAAAUGAUACUCUUUAAAAAAAAUGAUUGAGAUAAUAGGAAUCUUUGUUGGAGUAUAUAAGUGAGAAGUAUGGACAAAUUUAAUGAAUGGCUAAUCUUUUCUUUAUUAAAGUUUAUUCUCUCAAUUAAGUUCUUAUAACCUACAAGUCUAAAACAAUUGUAACAAUGUGUAUAAUGUUUGGUAAACUAACAGGUUAAUGUGAUUAAUCAAAUUUUUCGAAUGAGAUUAAUAGAAGAGGAAUUUAACUAAUGUUAACCAAGUAAUUGAACUCAAGUGAUCAGGGAGUUUCAUUAAAGGUCAACUCGAAUUUAAUAUUUUUAUCUAAAGAAAAGUAGAGAUGAACAAAUUUAGAUGAGUUGAACUCCAAGAUUCAUUAGAGUUUGAGUAAAUCUCAAAACUCAACAAACAUUUACAUAUAUAUUUAUAAAUCACGAUUAAAAAAGUCUUUAACAAACAACAUUGCACAAGAAUCAAUUUUUUACUAACUAAAUCAACUUUCAUUCGCAAUAAAUAUUCUUUUUUUUUGUUAAAUAGCCUAGUGGUUGGAGAAAUUCAUCUUAAAGAGGAAUAAGUGGGGUGUCUAUGGUUUAAACCUCGGCCCCUGCAUAUAUUGCGCAUUAUUCCUUAUCAAAUAAGACCAUCUACAAUGGCCUAUUGAAAAUGAUUUUCAACAUGUUGAAACCAUUGGAGUGCCCUAUUGAAAAUGAGAGAAGAGGAAAGAGGUGAUGAAAGUGUUAAACAUGUUGAAAAUCUGUACCGAGUGCCACGCGUCGCGUUUCAAUUGGCCAGGCUGAGUGUGUGCAUCACACGCGCCGACAGAGUGCGUCUGGGGCAGGGCAACGCGGAGAGAGAAGAUUUUCUGGAUAAUGUAGGGACAUGUGGUGCUUCCUGAUUGGAUUUUUAUCUUCUUAAUAAUUUGGACUCAAUUAUUUCAUUACAUAUAAUUUAUUUUUUUUACCAAAAUUCGUGAUUUUUUUUCUCUCUACAAAUAGAGACUUGGAUCAUUUGAUUUGGACACGGAAAAAAAAAAACCAAAUUUUUCACUCUCUUAAUCUUAUUAUUAGCAUUUCUUUUGAAGUUUUAGUCUUUGUUUAGUGAAAUGAAUCCAAAUAAUAAUCAAUUCAACACCCAAAAUUCUUCUGAUUAUAAAUAGUUAAUUGUAUUAUUUUAAACAACUCAAUAGUAGUGAAAUGAAGACCAUUUCUUUUAAUUGUAUUAUUUUAAUUUAAUUAUAAUCGAUAAUUUUAGGUAAUUAUAAAAACAAAAAUAUAAAAUUAAAUAAGAAUAACAAAUAAAAGGUGGUGGGUUAGGGUGUUGAAUGAAAAAACCAUUGGGGAGGUAAAAAAUUGAAUAGAUGUUGAAUUAUGAGAGAGAAAAUGAUGUGGAAUGUUGGAAUUGAAAAAGUGGAUGUUGAAGGGUAUUGAAAUUUUUUUACCAUUUAAGAUGGUCUAAGUUAAACUCACGGGGACUAUUCUUUAUUUGGGAGAAAUUAUUCUUUUUCUAGAUGCAAAUCAGUAGUGCGAUCCACAUGCAAAUACUAUAAUGGUAUAUGAUAGUAUGAUAUACACACAUGUCACAGAUGGAAACCGGGCAGUGGGCAACCACCAGUGGUUGGCUAAUGCAGCGUAAAAUAUUUGUGGUCAAUUAUGCGAGAGAUAAAUGUGCUGAAUUUUUUUAUUAGAAAAAAAAGUUCUGGAUUUUUAUAUAAAAAGUUAAAACAUAAUAAAAUAAAAUAAAAAGGUGCUGGAACUACAACUUAGUAAAUAAUUUUUUAUAGGAAAAAUAUUUGCUCACAAGUAUUUUGACACUCUAUUUAAACACACUAUACUUAGUCAUCGUGAGCUUAACUCUCGUGAGCUUAAUUCAGUUGAUAAGAAAUAAUGCAUAGUAUAUUUAAGGUAAGUUUAAAUUCCGAUCACCACAAAAAUAAAACACACUAUACUUAGUUUCGAAUCUCCCUCUUUUUUUCUUUUUCUUUUUUUCCAUUACAUUGUAACACUACCAAAAAAAACACGCUAUACUUGAGAAAAAUUAAAAAAUGAAAAGAAGAAAAAUAAAAAUAAAAAAGUAUGUAUUUUUUGUGUGCAAAUUAUGUAGCAAUAUAAAUUUAUGUUUUUAUUACGACAUGUACCACAAUAUUUCUAGAAGACUUCCUCUUUUUAUAAAUACUCCCUCCGUUCUUUUUUAAGUGUCUUUUUAUGGUGAAUUUUUCGUUCCUAUUUAACUGUAUUUUUGGUAUUUUAAGGGUAUGAUUUGUCAAUUAUACCCUUGUUGGAGGAAAAGAUAAUAACAAACAAUUGUUUGUUUCGAGAGAAAAAUAAUAUAUUAAAUUUAUUGGAAAGAUAAAGUGUGUGAAAAAAAUAGGAAUUUAUUGAUGCAUUAAAAUUAGGGUAUAAUAGGAAGAAAAUGUGCAAAAAUACACAUUGCUAUUUUGGUGUUAAUUUUCUAAAAAGACACUUCAAAAGGAACGGAGGAAGUAAUAGACAAAAUUCUUUUUUAUAUUUUUAAUCAUAAAUUUUUUGUCUUAUUUUUUUAUUGAAGCUUUCAUUGAAGAUUGUUUUAUUGAAGCUUUCGUUGAAGAUAAACGGAAGCUUUUUUUUUUUUGUUACAAAAAGAGUUGGUUGGCGUUCCACCGCAAAGAUUUAACAUCAUCGUAUCGAAAGUCAUUGCCGUCGCACUAGAGCAUUAUUCGCCACCGUUGCCGUUCAUCGGUUCUCACCGAACAUAUCAAUUCUCACUUACUACUAUAUACACCUUUUGGCAUAAACUCAUAUUUAUGUAGCGUUUUUAGUGUCUUUUAGAGUUUACGUAGCAAGUUUAUGUGAAUUUUAGUACAAUUUUUGUAAAGGAUUCUAUAAAAAGUCAUGGAAGAGCAAAAAUUGUUGUGCUAUACUUUCUUAUAGGGUAUAUGAUGGACAAAUUGAAAAGUGCACCAAAUCGUAGUAAGUAAUAAAGUAGUAAGUUAUAGUCUCCAUAGGGAUUGUCGUUCAACAAAUUUAUUUGGGUAAAAACAAUAAAGAAAGUUGAAUGGGUUUGCAAGUUCUAAUUGUCUUGUGCAAUGUGAGAUUAGGUUUUUAAUUCAGAUGUUUAACGGUGGUUAGGGUAUCUUUGAAUCACCUCUACCUUCUUUGUUGGAGUUAACUCAUUUUAAUAUUAAUUAUAACCUACCUUAAUAAAAGAGAGUAAGACAUGACCCCGUGAUGUAACGGUGGGAAGUUCGAGUAUUUGUGCCGCGACAAAGGUUAUACUUGCGACGUUCCCCUAAAAAUGAAUCAUAGCUAUAACAAUCAUAUUUAUAAUCGAUUAAACAAGAUUAAUUUAUAAAAUAAGCAAGUUACUGCUAUUCUGGUUCAGGCACCGACAUGAUAGUAAGUCUUAUACCUUAGCCUAUAGAUCAGGUCAACUGCUAGUUGAAAAGCAUUGAGCAUGGAACAUAUAAAAAUUAAAUUAGGCAAUUGAAUCAUAAACUAAAUACAAAACUUUAUGAAUUGAAUCCAAGAAAUAAGUAGAGGUUCAUCAUGGAACCCUAAUCAAGAGAGGUUUAGUUACACAUGGUAACUGACAUAGUUACAAAACAAUAAAAAAAAUAUUCCCUAGAGAGAACAAGAGGAGGAGAAAACCCUCUGCUUAGUUUUCUACACAACUUGAUGCCCCACAGCUUGAGCCAUAGCUUCUAGUGCAGCAGCAAUCGCAGCAUCGUUUCUUCCAGCCAUUCUUAGUUUUCUACACAACAAACAACAACAACAUUCGAAACAACAUAAGAUAGUAUACAACUGUUACUCAACAAGACACGACUCAACUACUUGGCCGGACGGACCGAUCUGCUCUGAUACCAAUUGUAACACCCCGUUUUCCCAACAUAAAAAUUUCAUUUAAAUAAUCAGAGUAAUCAUCACAAACGGAAUGUCACACUUCUUAAAAAUCAUAAACGGAAAUAAAUAACAAUUUAUCCUUCAAAAUUCAAUAACAUAAAAAUUCAUACUUCGCAGCGGAAUUUAUUUCAACAACUAAAAUAGUCUUUGGCACGAAGGCCUCAUCAUAACAUCUCAUAAAAAUCCAAUCUAAAUCACAGUCAUGUAAAAUCAUAAGCAAUACGUAAGGAAUAGAAAAGCAUGCAACAAAGUCCCAUCUCGUUACGUAUCAAAGCACCUAAAGACACACGUGAGAAGGAAACCACUCAUGACAGCAACUACAGCAACUUAUUCUCGAUCACCUGCAAGUUACUCAUACGAAGAGCAACAUUUCCAAGCAGAAGGGGUGAGAUUUCACAAAACAAUAAUAUUAAGCAUAUAAUUCAUCAAUUAUAUUUAACAACAUAAAUAACUUCAACAUAUCAUAAUUAAUAAUGCUUCAUUAAACACUUCAUUAAAAUAAAACAACUUAACAAUUCAUGUACACAACUCUUCGACUUGACAACUUGACAACUCGACUCGACAAUGCGACUUCAACUUGACUAUGAAACUUAACUUCUUAAUCAUGCAUGUGGUACCAAUCUAGGGCAUCAAGCCCUCAACGUAUUUAAGUAUUAAUAUACUUCCAGGGAAUCAAGCCCUCAACUUAAUUGAGCAAAGGCUCCAGGGUAUCAAACCCCCAACGUGUUAAGCAAAGGCUCCAAGGCAUCAAGCCCCCAACAUGAAUGAGUAUGCAUGGACUCAACAACUUAACAUCUUAGAAACAUCGACAUCUUAUACAACUCCAAUAAUUUGGAACAACUUCUUACAUCAUAGACUGACUCAUGCAGCUUAGUUAAUAAACAACAGCAACAUAGACAGUACAUAAAACAUCUCAAGAUAUAACAAUAUCAAAUAAUAAUAAUCAACAACACUUAAUCAUCAUAUAUAAUCCACAUAAUGCAUAUACAAAUAUAUUACAUUACUAACAACAUUAAAUCAUAUUAUAACAGCUUCACAGAACAUCAGUAUUAUUAUAUUCAACCUCCAUUCCUACCCCAAGGAUCAACUCAUAACAUCUCGUGCGACAAAGAUCGCAAAACCCUAAACAAGGUAUUCUGUCUAACAUGAGCUCGCGAGGCGAGGAACAUUGCUCGUUAUGGUGAGUUCAGGAAAAAAGGCAUUCGCUUUGGCGAGUAAGCUAAUCGCCUUGGCGAACAAGAAACUGGGUGCUCUCGGGAAUUUGACAUUUUUCAUCCAAAAAUCCAUUUUUAAACUUUCUCGUGUUCAAUCUCAAUCUAAAAACUUGCCUAAUCAUUAUUGUACAUAUUCAGGCACUCAAAAUCAUCUAAAGUUCGACUAAAGGAAUUAAUUCUCAAAAUCAGGUUGACACACUGAUCAACUCGCUAUGGCGAGCUGCAAGGUGUAACUCGCGAGGCGAAUGGAUUUGCUCGCGAGGCGAGCGAUGAAGUUCAUCACUCGCGAGGGCGAGGAUCAUCCCUCGCGAGGCGAGCGAUGAAUACAGGCUCGGGCAGAAUGCAUAUUUUUACGAAAAUCCACCUAAUCUCAUGGUUCAAAGCUUAAAAUUGAUUCUAAACAUCACCCUAUGGAUUAUCUAAGGUCUAUAAACACUUUCUACAUCAAUUCUACAAUUCUACAUCAUCUAACCAUCAAUUCUCAUUCUUAACCCUAAUUUCCAACUUUCAAAACUAACCUACACAUGUUAAAUCUAAUCAUCAGAAUUAUCAGCUUAAGAGAAUUGAAUGCUAGUCUCACCCUUACCUUAAUCAAAAUCGAUCAGCAGCUUCUCUUUGGUCUUCGCUCCUCUUGUUCUCCCUUUUCUCCCAAAACUGGUUGUACGUAAAAACUAUUAUGACUUAGGUUUUCUCCUAUUUAUCUCUUCCCAUCUAUUUUAUCUUAUUUCCUCUUUUUCCCUCAAAACUCUCUAAAAUCUCAAAACAACCCCUCAACUCAAUAUUUAUUUUAUUUUCAAAUCUUAUUCUAUUAAAUAAUAAAAUAAGACCUCUCAAAUAAAAUAUCACACAUCACAUAAUCACAUAUAAAUCACAUAAAUCAUAUAAAUCAUCUUAAUAAACUCUAAACUCAACAAAAAUAAUUAAAUAAUCAAAAAGGGCGUUACAUAUAAGGCCAUGUGUAACACCCUAAUUUUCGACGAUAAUUAUUAACUAAAAAAAUAUAUAAUUACUAGAGAGGAUGUUACAAAACUUGACAUUAAAUCACAAAAUAACAAUAAGAUGUUUUCUUUUAAAUUAAAUCCACUGUAGAAGUAGAAAAUCUUUCAUUGAUCACAUUAAUAAAUUCAUACUUGCCUUUCAGCAAUCAUAAAUAGAAAAUAAAAAAGUUUCCAAGAUUCAACUCAAAAUGCAAUUAAAAUUUAAAUCGUCACCCCCAACCCUAGUGUUAUAAUAUCAGAGCUCAUAGCGACUACAUGCUUAUUCAACUACCAAGCAACCAAACUAACUGGAGGGCAUCCCCUCAUCUCCAACUUCUAAAAUGUCCCAUAACUACUCCUCGUUAACCUGAGCAUCUGUACUUAAAGUACAGUCACCAUACGGAAAACAACACAGCAAAAUAAGGGGUGGGAAAUCCUUCCAUAACAUAAUAAUAGGAAAAAGCACACAAUUAAAUAAAUAUCAAAAGAAUAUAAUCUCCAUUAUCCCAUCACUCUCAACAGUUAUUAUAUAUAAUCUCCUCAUUUCACAUAUCACAGCAGCACAUCAUAUUCACAAUCAAACACCAAAUACAACAUCAUCAUAUAUAUGCACGUGGACUCUCCUAUCAACCUAUAUGAAUGUGGUACCACACCUCUCAACAUCAAGUUGCCAGAGAUAUGUUUCUGAACUUUUGAACACCAAUUUACUAGAGGUAUGUGAUGACAUGUCAUCUUACGUUAUUCUUGGCAUGUUUUUCAGUCAUUUUCAGUAAGUUUUAGAAGCAAAAAGGAGGAGUAUUAGAACGAUUGCCUAUGAUUUUGAGACUUUUGUAAUUUUUUCUAUAAUUGAGUCUGUAACUCUAGUUUUCCAUAAACAUAACAAUUUUAGGGGGUUUUUGAAGUAAUUCACGAAGAAAUCAUGCAAAUCGACAAAUCAAGAACAUCCGAAGAUUUGUGAAGACUUUGGGAAGACCAAGAAUAAAGAUUCAAGAGUCAUCCUGA
rnacentral:lncRNA from 1 species